rnacentral:rRNA from 1 species
UACGGAGGAUUCAAGCGUUAUCCGGAUUUACUGGGUGUAAAGGGAGCGUAGACGGCAGCGCAAGUCUGGAGUGAAAUCCCAUGGCUUAACCAUGGAACUGCUUUGGAAACUGUGCAGCUGGAGUGCAGGAGAGGUAAGCGGAAUUCCUAGUGUAGCGGUGAAAUGCGUAGAUAUUAGGAGGAACAUCGGUGGCGAAGGCGGCUUACUGGGCUUUUACUGACGCUGAGGCUCGAAAGCGUGGGGAGCAAACAGG